rnacentral:rRNA from 1 species
ACGGGUGAGUAAUGCCUAGGAAUCUGCCUGGUAGUGGGGGAUAACGUUCGGAAACGGACGCUAAUACCGCAUACGUCCUACGGGAGAAAGCAGGGGACCUUCGGGCCUUGCGCUAUCAGAUGAGCCUAGGUCGGAUUAGCUAGUUGGUGAGGUAAUGGCUCACCAAGGCGACGAUCCGUAACUGGUCUGAGAGGAUGAUCAGUCACACUGGAACUGAGACACGGUCCAGACUCCUACGGGAGGCAGCAGUGGGGAAUAUUGGACAAUGGGCGAAAGCCUGAUCCAGCCAUGCCGCGUGUGUGAAGAAGGUCUUCGGAUUGUAAAGCACUUUAAGUUGGGAGGAAGGGUUGUAGAUUAAUACUCUGCAAUUUUGACGUUACCGACAGAAUAAGCACCGGCUAACUCUGUGCCAGCAGCCGCGGUAAUACAGAGGGUGCAAGCGUUAAUCGGAAUUACUG